rnacentral:rRNA from 1 species
ACAGAGGUGGCAAGCGUUGCUCGGAAUCACUGGGCUUAAAGGGUGUGUAGGCGGUUCGGUAAGCAUCUUGUGAAAGCCCACGGCUCAACCGUGGAACUGCAGGAUGGACUGCCGGACUUGAGGCGCGUAGAGGUCACUGGAACUCUGGGUGGAGCGGUGAAAUGCGUAGAUAUCCAGGGGAACGCCAAUGGCGAAGGCAGGUGACUGGGCGCGUCCUGACGCUGAGGCACGAAAGCGUGGGGAGCGAACGG